AUGGACGAAGAAAAUCCUGUUGAGCUGUUACAACGUUAUCGCCGUGAUCGCCAUGUGUUGCUCAAUUACAUCCUUUCUGGUAACUUGAUCAAGAAAGUUGUAAUGCCGCCUGGUGCUAUCUCUCUAGAUGACGUGGAUAUUGAUCAAGUCAGUGUUGAUUAUGUCCUCAAUUGUGCUAAGAAAGGGGAUCCACUUGACCUUGGAGAUGCCAUCCGGCUUUAUCAUGACAGCCUUGAUUACCCAUAUGUCGAUAACACAGGAGAUGUUGAAGGGUUCUAUUUACUUACAAGACCUGAAUAUUCUGGAUCAGCACCAACAAGAGAACCACCCCCUGUCCCUGCCGCUGCACCAUUACCAGUUGUGGUACCACCACCAGUUGUUGAACAACCACAAAUUGCUGUUCCAUCAUCAGUUGCAAACUUACCAAAAUCAUUAUCAUUGGACUCUCCCACCGAGAAGGAAUUAACCAUAGAUGACAUUGAAGACUUUGAGGAUGAUGAAGGUGAAUUCGAUAGUCGAAGGGCUUCUAGGAGGCAUCAAACUGAUGCCAAUGAUAUAUCCUUGCGCUUACCAUUAUUUGAAACAGGUAUCACAGAUGAUGAUCUUCGUGAAACAGCAUAUGAAAUCCUUGUUGCUGCUGCUGGCGCUUCAGGGGGGCUUAUAGUCCCAAAGAAAGAAAAGAAGAAAGAGAAGAGACACAGAUUAAUGAGGAAACUUGGCCGUAGUAAGAGUGAAAGUGCUGAAUCGCAAACUCACCGGCAACCAGGUUUAGUUGGCCUGCUUGAAAUCUUGAGAGCCCAACUUGAGAUAACGGAGUCCAUGGAUAUUAGGACUAGGCAGGGACUACUUAAUGCUAUGGUGGGUAAAGUCGGAAAACGGAUGGACAAUCUCUUGAUACCACUGGAACUACUGUGCUCUAUAUCUAGAGCUGAAUUUUCUGACAUGAAGGCAUAUCUUCGUUGGCAGAAAAGACAGCUGAACAUGCUGGAGGAGGGCCUAAUAAACUAUCCUGUUGUUGGAUUUGGAGAGUUAGGUCGAAAAGUCAAUGAGCUAAGAAAUCUUUUCAGAAAGAUUGAAGAAUCUGAGUCCCUAUCCCCAUCUGCUGCGGAGGUUCAACGUACAGAAUGCCUACGUUCACUGAGAGAAGUUGCUACAUCUUUCUCUGAAAGGCCUGCUCGUGGCGAUCUUACCGGUGAGGUUUGUCAUUGGGCUGAUGGUUACCAUCUGAAUGCCGCCUUGUAUGAAAAAAUGCUUGGCAGUGUUUUUGACACCUUAGAUGAGGGAAAACUCACAGAGGAGGUGGAAGAAAUCCUUGAGCUCCUAAAGUCCACUUGGCGUAUACUAGGAAUCACAGAGACAAUUCAUGAUACGUGCUAUGCAUGGGUAUUAUUCCGACAGUUUGUUUUUACAGGCGAGCAAGGACUCCUGAAAGUUGUGAUUGAGCAUUUGAGGAAGAUACCCUUGAAGGAACAGCGUGGUCCACAAGAACGCUUACACUUGAAAAGUCUACGUAGUUCUGUUGAUGCCGAUGAUAGCUGCCAGGACUUUACGUUUUUCCAGUCUUUCCUGUCUCCAGUUCAGAAAUGGGUGGACAAGAAAUUGAAUGAUUAUCAUCUGCACUUCUCAGAGGCUAUGUCUGAUUUGUUAUUCACCACCGAAUGUUGCAACACAUAUGCGCAUAAGGGUUCCAGUAUGAUGGUUGAUAUCAUAACAGUAGCAAUGCUUACUAGGCGAAUCCUUGGUGAAGAAAAUGACAAGGCAAUGGAGUCACCUGAUCGAGACCAGAUUGACCGUUACAUCACUUCUUCUGUCAAAAGUGCUUUCAUGAAGAUUGCACAUUCCGUAGAGAUUAAAGCAGACACAUCACAUGAGCAUGUUUUAGCAUCUCUAGCCGAGGAGACAAAGAAGCUUUUGAAGAUAGAGACAAACAUUUUUUCCCCAGUUUUGUCAAGAUGGCAUCCACAGGCAGCAGUUCUUUCUGCUUCCCUUCUCCAUAAACUGUAUGGAAACAAAUUGGGACCUUUUCUUGAGCAUUCUGAGCAUCUUACGGAGGACGUAGUUUCUGUAUUUCCGGCAGCUGAUUCUUUGGAGCAGUACAUAAUGUCAGUGAUGGCUUCUGUUGUGGGUGACGAUGGUUUGGACAGUCUAUGUAGACAAAAGCUAGUUCCUUAUGAGAUUGAAAGUAAAUCGGGCACGGUUGUUUUACGCUGGGUGAAUGGGCAACUGGAGAGAGUUGAAACUUGGGUUAAAAGGGCUGCUGAACAAGAGACUUGGGAUCCUAUAUCCCCUCAACAACGCCAUGGGGGUUCUAUUGUUGAAGUCUAUAGAAUCAUAGAAGAGACUGCAGAUCAGUUUUUUGCAUUCAAGGUUCCUAUGCGAAUUGGGGAAUUAAAUAGCUUCUGUCGUGGCAUUGACAAGGCAUUUCAAAUUUAUACACAACUUGUUACUCAACCCAUAGUUGACAAAGAAGAUUUAGUUCCACCUGUUCCUGUCCUUACCCGAUAUAAAAAGGAGCUUGGGAUCAAAGCUUUCGUAAAAAAGGAAAUCCAAGAAGUCAGACCUGUUGAUGAGAGAAAAUCGAGUGAAAUAGUUCAACUUACAAUGUCAAAGCUAUGUGUGCGGCUUAACAGUCUAUAUUAUGCUAUAAGCCAGCUAGGCAAGUUGGAGGACAGCAUAAGUGAGCGGUGGGCUAAAAGGCAAAGUGACAAAAUUAACAUCAGACGAUCAAUGAACGGCAAGUCAAAGGGCAUAGUCUCCAAUCAGAAGAAUCAAUUUGAUGGCAGUAGAAAAGAAAUCAAUGCUGCUAUUGAUCGGGUAUGUGAAUGUACAGGGUUAAAGGUCAUAUUUUGGGACCUCCAACAGCCAUUCAUCGACAAUAUGUACAAAAACAAUGUUUUACAAGCUCGAUUGGACACUAUUGUCGAAGUGCUUGAUUUGGUGCUUGCUCAACUCUGUGACGUCAUUGUGGAGCAACUGCGAGAUCGUGUGGUUACAGGGCUUCUGCAAGCAUCCCUGGAUGGCUUAGUUCGGGUAAUACUAGAUGGAGGUCCUACACGCGUCUUCUCUCCAAAUGAUGCCCCUCUUUUGGAGGAAGAUCUUGAAAUUCUUAAGGAAUUCUUCAUAUCUGGCGGAGAUGGGCUGCCUCGUGGAACUGUUGAGAAUUUGGUCUCGCGUGUUCGUCCUGUAAUAAAUCUGAUCAAGCAAGAGACCCGUGUGCUUAUUGAUGAUCUGCGCGAAGUUACUCAAGGGGGCAAAAGCAAAUUCGGAAGCGACUCCAAAACCCUGCUGAGGGUCCUGUGCCACAGAAAUGAUUCAGAGGCAUCACACUAUGUAAAGAAGCAUUUCAAGAUACCCAGUUCAGCUCCCCCGAGCACCUGA
rnacentral:rRNA from 1 species